rnacentral:rRNA from 1 species
GACGAACGCUGGCGGCGUGCUUAACACAUGCAAGUCGAACGGCAAGGCCCUGCUUUUGUGGGGUGCUCGAGUGGCGAACGGGUGAGUAACACGUGAGUAACCUGCCCUUGACUUUGGGAUAACUUCAGGAAACUGGGGCUAAUACCGGAUCGGAUCUCCUGCUGCAUGGUGGGGGUUGGAACGUUUCGGCUGUUGGGGAUGGACUCGCGGCUUAUCGGCUUGUUGGUUGGGUAGUUGCUUACCAAGGCUUUGACGGGUCGGCGGCCUGAGAGGGUGAACGGCGUCAUUGGGACUGAGAUACGGCCCAGUGUCGUAUGGGAGGCAGCAGGGGGGAACAUGGCACAGUGGGCGGGAGCCUGAGGAAGCAACGCCGCGUGCGGGAUGACGGUCUUCGGGGUGUAAACCGCUUUCGCCUGUGACGAAGCGGGAGUGACGGUAAUGGGUAAAGAAGCACCGGCUAACUACGUG